CAAACUUGCGUUCGUACUCCCCAGGUGGGAUACUUAUCACUUUCGCUUAGCCACUGAGAUUGCUCCCAACAGCUAGUAUCCAUCGUUUACGGCGUGGACUACCAGGGUAUCUAAUCCUGUUCGCUACCCACGCUUUCGUCCAUCAGCGUCAAUAUAUUAGUAGUAACCUGCCUUCGCAAUUGGUAUUCCAUGUAAUCUCUAAGCAUUUCACCGCUACACUACAUAUUCUAGUUACUUCCUAAUAAUUCAAGUCUAGCAGUAUCAAUGGCCGUUCCACCGUUGAGCGAUGGGCUUUCACCACUGACUUACUAAACCGCCUACGGACCCUUUAAACCCAAUGAUUCCGGAUAACGCUUGGAUCCUCCGUAUUACCGCGGCUGCUGGCACGGAGUUAGCCGAUCCUUAUUCUUACGAUACCGUCAAGCUCCUUCACGAAGGAGUGUUUCUUCUCGUAUAAAAGCAGUUUACAAUCCAUAGGACCGUCAUCCUGCACGCGGCAUGGCUGGAUCAGGCUUGCGCCCAUUGUCCAAUAUUCCUCA
rnacentral:rRNA from 1 species